AGGCGGCAGCGCCGACGGGGGAGGCCUCGGGGACUCGGGCCGCGGGCGGCAGGGCGGAGGGGCACCUGUUUGACGACCCGCGCGCGGGAUCGUGCAAAGAAGAGGGCGGCGCGUUCGUGGUGGGGCGAAGAAGCGGGGCACAUCUUCGGGAUAGCCGGGAAGGGAGGGGCGUGGAGGAGAGACACGAGGGCACACGCGUGCUGCAGGACAGAGUGAGGGGUGCCGGCACUGCUGAAGCAGCGCCUCAAACUCAUCCUCGCCCCUACGUUCACCUGGGCUGCGCAGGGGGCCGCCACCAUCGUGGGGACACCCCGCCCCCACCGCUGCCCACCGCGGAGGAGCUGGCCGGCAAGCGCGCACCUUACCUCGAAGAGGGGACCGAUCUUAUUCUUCUCCAGAGAAGAAAAAAACAUGCUUCUUGGGGUUUGACAGUUCUGUUCUUCUGCAAUAACUGAUUUUGCUGUACUAACGUUAACCUGUUUAGUUAAAAAAAUACCUUUUUUUUUAAUAAGGAUUUUUUAAAUACACAAGACAGCUUUCAAGACUAUUGGGAACAUUCAGCACAUCUGCUGAAUCGGCUGCCUGUUCCAAAUCAAGCAGUGUUCUGCAAAUGCAAGAGUACAAGCAUCUCCUGAUUCAGAACCAUUAAAGAAAAGGAUUAAUUUUGUCUGGAGUCAAAAGAAAGAUCCUGAGUUCUGCUCCCAUAGCCAUUGACUCUUGUUUGACUUCAGAGUCCUCCAUACUGACCUAAACCUCAAGCCUCUACCUAGAAGGAGGUCAAGUCCUGACAUCUCAAAGUAGCAGCAUGUCCAGACCUGCUGAGAUAUGGCCAUAUCAAGACCUGCAAACUGUCACUGCUCUGUGUAGACCAGGAAGAGGACUGAAGAAAAGAAAGAAGACUGUCAGCAAUAUGAAUAGAAAAGAGAAUUUAUUAUAGGAGGUUUUAAAGAUAGCAUAAAUGUCUAUGGUUGCAUAUUGUACAAUUAGAUAGAUGCCAAGAUCUCACUGUUAAAACCUCAGAGUUUUGAGAAUUUCUGUAUUUUGGCUUCUUUUUUCUUUCCUCCCAGUGAAUGACAGAUUGGUUGAGGUUGAAAGGGACUGGUCCAAACCCCCUGCUACAGCAGACUCACAGCUCGUUGCCCAGCCCUAUGUACAGAUGACUUUUGAAUGUCUGCUAAGGAUGCUGCAUUUUUUUGGUGUCUGUUGUCAUUCUUGCUUCCUUUUUCCCUAGACCAUUUUUCCUUCUCUUAAUUCUCACCCAGACAUAUAAUCUAGAUGUUCCAGUUGGCCUGGGAGACACAGUAGUAGUCUUCCUGUGGCUGGGAAAGCUUCCAAGGCCAAAUGCAGAAUUAGCUUUCUGAACAGACACAUCUUGUAACCCCCACAGCUCCCAUGAGAGUUAGUGACAGGUUAUCCUUUGAUAAUGGAUUAGAUACUUUAGGGGGACAAGAACACAGACAGUUCCUUACCAAGGGCUUCAUGCUGCUGUUACCUAGUUGAAGGUCUAGAGCAGUUCCCUGACAGUAAAGCUUUCUGAGUGCUAAAAUAUGGGAGUUCAGGUGUCUCCUGCAGAGAGCAUAGGCUGAGUGACAUGGUAUAAUAGGAAAAGGAUCUUCACUGAUAGCACUCUUUUCUCUUUUUUUUCCAAGAAAGCACAAAAACUGUUGCUAGGUUUAUCAUAAGCCACACCAAAAUAGCAAUCAAUAAAUACAUGUGAUUUGCAAAUAAGCACAGAAAGCUGGAUAUGUCCCUGUUGUCCUCUUAGUUGUUAGGAGAAAAACAUUUUCAAAAUUUAAUUAAGAUAUUCUAAGUUUUUAAAACUGGUAUUACUACAGUCUUUUUAAAUUAACUUACCAAAGGAAAAAAAUCUCUUGGAUUAAAAUUACUGGUUUAGGCAUGCCUGAAUUUUUUAUUACUUUAAGCAGCUUUUUUGUAUGAGCAACUGAACACUAAGUUACUUUACAACCUAAGUAAUAAAAUAUAGUCUGUGUAUUGCA